rnacentral:rRNA from 1 species
GACGAACGCUGGCGGCGUGCCUAAUACAUGCAAGUCGAACGCAGUGGGGACGGGUGAGUAACACGUGGGUAACCUCCCAUCAGAGGGGAUAACACUUGGAAACAGGUGCUAAACCGAUACUGAUGGAUGGACCCGCGGUGCAUUAGCUAGUUGGUGAGGUAACGGCGCACCAAGGCCACGAUGCAUAGCCGGACUGGGGAGGUGAUCAGCCACACUGGGACUGGGGAACGGGCCAGAAUCCUAAGGGGGGGAACAGUAGGGAAACUUCGGCAAUGGACUGAAAUCUGGCCGAGCAACGCCGCGUGAGUGAAGAAAGUUUUCGGAUCGUAAAGCUCUGUUGUUAGAGAAGCGGUAACUAACCAGAAAGGGACGGCUAACUACGUGCCAGCAGCCGCGGUAAUAC